rnacentral:rRNA from 1 species
UACGGAGGGUGCGAACGUUGCUCGGAAUUAUUGGGCGUAAAGCACAUGUAGGCGGCGCAGCAAGUUGGAUGUGAAAGCCCAGGGCUCAACCCUGGAAGUGCAUCCAAAACUGCUGUGCUUGAGUCCCGGAGGGGCCCAGAGAAUUCCCGGUGUAGAGGUGAAAUUCGUAGAUAUCGGGAGGAAUACCAGUGGCGAAGGCG